rnacentral:rRNA from 1 species
GCGUUGUUCGGAAUUACUGGGCGUAAAGCGCACGUAGGCUGAUAUUUAAGUCAGGGGUGAAAUCCCGGGGCUCAACCCCGGAACUGCCUUUGAUACUGGGUAUCUUGAGUAUGGAAGAGGUCAGUGGAAUUGCGAGUGUAGAGGUGAAAUUCGUAGAUAUUCGCAGGAACACCAGUGGCGAAGGCGGCUGACUGGUCCAUUACUGACGCUGAGGUGCGAAAGCGUG